rnacentral:rRNA from 1 species
CCUACGGGAGGCAGCAGUAGGGAAUAUUGCUCAAUGGGGGAAACCCUGAAGCAGCAACGCCGCGUGGAUGAUGAAGGUUUUCGGAUCGUAAACUCCUGUUGUUAGAGAAGAUAAUGACGGUAUCUAACGAAUAAGCCCCGGCUAACUCCGUGCCAGCAGCCGCGGUAAUACGGAGGGUGCAAGCGUUACUCGGAAUCACUGGGCGUAAAGAGCGCGUAGGCGGGAUAGCAAGUCGGAUGUGAAAUCCUAUGGCUUAACCAUAGAACGGCAUUUGAAACUGGUAUACUAGAGUGUGGGAGAGGUAAGUGGAAUUCGUGGUGUAGGGGUGAAAUGCGUAGAGAUCAAGAGGAAUACUCGUGGCGAAGGCGACCUGCUGGAACGUAACUGACGCUGAUGCGCGAAAGCGUGGGGAGCAAACAGGAUUAGAUACCCCAGUAGUC